rfam:Gossypium arboreum cultivar AKA8401 contig_1518_5, whole genome shotgun sequence.
AACCUAUGAUGAGGGCACCUUCUCAAUAAGUCCUUGCAUCUCUCCCAUGCAUUAUAUAAUGUCUUUAAAUUGAUCAGGGCAAAGGAAUAAAUAUCAUUCCUCAACUU